GCCAGCUUAGCUCAGUGGUAUAGCUCUUGACUUUUAAUCCCCUGGUCAAGGGUUCGAUUCCCUUAGUCGGCG